rnacentral:lncRNA from 1 species
CUUGGCUUCAUAGUAGGACUGCAGGACUCGAGCCUUCUGCAGCUCUGCUCGCCGCCGCUUGGCCUCCUCCAAGCUCAUUGCCUGCAGCGAGGCUUUUUCCUGCGGUGUCAGGAGCGGGUCUGUGAUGGGCUGCUGUGUUUUGUGGAGCAGACCAAAGAUCUCCUGCUCCAGGGGAGUUCGGGGCUUCCAUGCUGAAACCACUUGCUCCAGGGGGGCAACUGCCACUAUCUCCUCCUUCAGGGGGAAGACCAACUGCUCUGCUCGGCGGUUCUGCAGGACCACUGGUUGCCACUUGCCAACAUCUUUAGAGCUCUUGGCAUAGGCAGCCUCCCUCACAACCCGCUCUGCCUCCUCCUUGCUGAGCGGCAGCUCCACUGCCUUCUUCUGCUUCACUCUGCUGAGCUCCUUCUUCACACCACUCAGGGCAGACCGGGCACGGAUGGGCUGCAGGAGCUCGGACAGGACAAGUUUCUCCCCGGCACCUUUACAACUGACGUUGAACUCAGACACCUGUGCGCUGGCCUCGGAGCGCUCGGCCAGCUUCCGCCGCUUCCGCCCCGUGAGGGCGCUGACCGCCUCCAGGAGCUGCUGGUGCCGCCGCUCGCCAUCCUCCUGCUCCUCCUCCUCCUCCUCGCUACCGCUCCCCGCCGCCUCGGCGCCCAGCCACUCCUCCGCCAUGGC